GGAUCGUUACGUCAUCAAACGUCACGUAAACACUUUCAGCUGGGUCUUUUUGCUAGCAGCAGAACACUCGCUAGCUUGAUCACAUUCGUAGUAUUGUAUUCUUUCUGAUCUGUCAUCUCACCAAUACCGAAUGAUAGUUUGACUGCUAUCAAAUACUACCAAAACUCGAGUUAAAUUGACGGAUUGGAGGAAUCUCUCGCUUGUUUCGUUAUAAAUUUAGCUGGUUAGCUAGCUAAAGUAGCUUAUAGCUAGAUAGUUUAUAACGGCGGAAAGAGACGAUGAGACGUUAACCGAGAAGUACACUUGUUUACUGACAUAAUCUGCAUACAUACUAGGAUAGUGACAGUUAAUGCUAAAUUAUCAAGACUAACCAGUCAAGGGUUGUUUCCUUGCUAACCAAAGAAGCUGUUCAACAAGCUAGCAACCAGAUAAGAUCAGAAUGCCUUGACUGGUCGUGCGGGGAAAGCUCUGCUGUACGUACGAAAAUAGAUUUUUGCUCGACCAAGAGUCGUUCCUUCACGUCCUUUACAUCCGAACGUGCUCAGAGUCUUCUUUGUAACCAAAACAACCCACUGACAAUCGUCUGCCAAAUGUUGACAGAAAACAGGAAGCGGCGGCGGGGUGGAGACAAUGAGGGGGACCAGCUGGCGAAAAGGUCAGGAGGGGGACAGGAGGGUCACGCCCUGGUGUCCAAGCUGGGCCAAGAUGUCUGGGACUCUGAGUCGUCCGGCAGUGACAGCAGUAGUGGUAUCAGUAGUCCUGAGAGGGCAGGGGGAGGAGCCAGCACCC